rnacentral:rRNA from 1 species
UACGUAGGGUGCGAGCGUUAAUCGGAAUUACUGGGCGUAAAGUGUGCGCAGGCGGCGGAGCAAGUCGAGUGUGAAAGCCCCGGGCUUAACUUGGGAACUGCGCUCGAAACUACUUUGCUGGAGUGUGGCAGAGGAAGGUGGAAUUCCAGGUGUAGCGGUGAAAUGCGUAGAGAUGUGGAGGAACACCAAUGGCGAAGGCAGCCUUCUGGGCCAACACUGACGCUCAUGCACGAAAGCGUGGGGAGCAAACAGG